AACAUUUUAAGUAAUUAAAAAUCAUCAUACCUGUGCUUUGUACUUUGGUAUCUUCCAUGAUGCAUUAUGUAUGGUUUUUCCCUCGGUGGACUCUGAUUUGGGGUAUGGCAGGCCUGUUGUGAUAGGCUAGCAUUCCCUAAAACACUGGUUUGAUGGAAAUAAGACACUCCUAAGAUUUCAUAAUGGAAUUAGUGUUUAGCAUAUCUAAAUAAAUACAGGUACCAACAAUUAAAAAAAAAUAUUUUGUAGGUCUAAAUUUGUUCAUAGGAAUGUUUAUUUUGAAAAUUUUCAUUUAUUUUUCUAUUUUUUUUUUUUACUGCAUGCAAAUGAUGUGAUGAUAUGGUGUCACAAAGAAAAUAACCAAGCAUGAACAAAAACAAUCAUUUUAGCCAUCUUAUUUAGUCUUACAUCACAGACAGGAGUGAGGCCUAUCUAUCUAGCCAGUGUGGAAGGGGGGGGGGGGGGGUCAUUGAUCUAAUAACACCUGGCCAACGCUAACAACGUCACGGCAAUCAGACACUACCAGAAGGGAGGUAAUCAAACAUAAUCAUCAUCUUGUGAAGCUAUUACCUUGGCCACACUUUUGUCUGUCAAUGACUGGUUGUUGCAGACUCAGCAGUUUUUGUCGAGUAGGGAGCAGCACGUCAGCCAUUUUGAUUUCAUUCUGCUACUAAAUUCUAUACAAGCAUAAUUAUAUGAAAACUUGAAAGUUACAGAAAUGUUGUUUUCCCAUUUGUUGUUUUUAUUUGAUUUGUUACAUUGCACUUUGUUUUGUUAAAAAAAAGUUCAGCACAGUUUUUUAUUUUAUAGUAUGUCUCUUAAAUAAAAAAAAAAUUAAAUGGAUAUUGUUAAAUAAUAUGGAGGUUCUUCUCAUCUUGAAUAACUAUAAACGUUAUAUGUUCUGUGGUAUAUAUAUUGUUUGUGAUGAUUAUAAAACAUGAUGAGAUUUAUACUUGCCAAAAGUGUGUAUUUCACUGUCAAGAAUACUUUCAAUAAGGAGUGUACUUUCAGUGACUUGUAAAUAAAUCUUUUCUUCUGACUCUGUUACUAUCUUUUUUGAUGUGGAGUAUCAUAAAGUGUUUAUUAAAAGUCAAAUUAUUGU
rnacentral:sRNA from 1 species